CAACGAAACAGCUGGACAUCACUGCUGAGGACAAUGGAGGAGGUCAAACUUAAACCCUAAAGGAGAAAAACAGGAAAGAAUGGAACAGAGACACAGCUUGUGGUGAUCAUCAGUUGAACUGGUCUCUGGGAUGCUGGUGAGAAGGUAGAGAGAUGACACUUGGUGGGACUAAUUGAUUUAGACCAGUUAGAGGCAGAGGACAGGACUGAUGUGAGGAUUUGAGUUAGGAGAAGCACCGACUGUUAGAAACGGCUUUCCGAUGUGGUCUAGUUCUAGAUGUUCCUCUGGUUAGUUAGUUUUCAGGCCUAGUUGGAGGGAAAAGAACCCUCUGCAGAAAUAUUCUCCAUAUCAUCUAGGCCUGUCCUGACCGCAGUGGAUCUCUUCUGUGUUUUUUGAAUCCCAUGUUGGACCGAGCCUCUCCAAGCUUUGGGCCAUCAGAAGAUGCUGAUGAGAUCUGCAGCGACCAAACCAGAGGAGGAUCGUCUGGUCUGCUGACCUUCACAAAGAACACUGUGGACGUCCAAAAGCAAAACUCCUGUGAGGAACCGGGGCAUCCAGGAUGGUGAGGUGCUUUCCAGUCCCCACCUGAGGACGGCACAGAGAAAGACUGGAACAGAAAACACACGGAGGAAAGCAGGUUGAACAGCUAGCAGUGUUCUAGCAGUCGGAUCACAUUGGAACAGAAUCCAUCCACACAUGUUUGGAGGAGCUGAAGAAGAGGACGGAGCACACAGUCCACUAAGGAGGAGAAACAUGGCUCCUCUAUUUGUCUCUCCAACAUUCUGGAGUCUAAAAAAUGUUGACGACCUCGCAGCUAAACCAUCAGUCUGCUACACCCAGGAGAAGAAGGUAACAAACCUUUAUUGCUUCCAGAUGUUCAUCAGUAUUAGUGAAG